rnacentral:rRNA from 1 species
UCUGGUUGAUCCUGCCAGUAGUCAUAUGCUUGUCUUAAAGAUUAAGCCAUGCAUGUCUAAGUAUAAACACUUUGUACUUGUGAAACUGCGAAUGGCUCAUUAAAUCAGUUAUAAUUUAUUCGAUGGUCCUUUACAACUUGGAUAACCGUGGUAAAUCUAGAGCUAAUACAUGCACAAAAUCCUGACUGCUUUCGGGUAGGAGGGAUGUAUUUAUUAGAUUCAAAAGCCAAUGCCAUUCUUCGGAGUGGAAAUUUUUUAUAUGGUGAAUCAUGAUAACUUUACGAAUCGCAUAGUCUUGUACUGGCGAUAGUUCAUUCAAAUAUCUGCCCUAUCAACUUUCGAUGGUAGUAUAGAGGACUACCAUGGUGGUAACGGGUAACGGAGAAUCAGGGUUUGAUUCCGGAGAGGGAGCCUGAGAAACGGCUACUACUUCCAAGGAAGGCAGCAGGCGCGCAAAUUACCCAAUCCCGACACGGGGAGGUAGUGACAAAAAAUAACAAUACCGGUCUUAUUUAAGUCUGGUAAUUGGAAUGAGUACAAUCUAAAACCUUUAUCGAGUAUCAAUUGGAGGGCAAGUCUGGUGCCAGCAGCCGCGGUAAUUCCAGCUCCAAUAGCAUAUAUUAAAGUUGUUGCAGUUAAAAAGCUCGUAGUUGGAUUUUGAUGAUACUUUUCAUAACCUGCCUUGUAUAAGGUAUGUUUGUUGUGAAUCGUACAUCUCCUUACUAGACUUUCAUGGUUGUACUUAAUUGAAUGACCAUUUCAUCUUGAUUCGUUAGGGUGAGUGAUGAGUAGACCUAUUGGAUUCGAGAUUGUGGAUGAAUUUCUUCGGAGAUUGGUUCUGCUUGGAUUCAAUAACUAUUUAUUAGAAAUCUAGUUCAUUUACUUUGAGUAAAUUAGAGUGUUCAAGGCAAGCAAAUUUGUUUCUGCAAUGAAUACUAUUAGCAUGGGAUAAUGGAACAGGACACGUAUUCUAGUUUUCCGUUGGUUUCUAGAAUUUUUAGUCGCUCCUUGGAGUGGCGAAGUGUAAUGAUUAAAAGGGACAGUUGGGGGCAUUCGUAUUUCAUUGUCAGAGGUGAAAUUCUUGGAUUUAUGAAAGACGAACUUCUGCGAAAGCAUUUGUCAAAGAUGUUUUCAUUAAUCAAGAACGAAAGUUAGGGGAUCGAAGACGAUCAGAUACCGUCGUAGUCUUAACCAUAAACUAUGCCGACCAGGGAUUGGAAGAUGU